ACGAAGGGGGCUAGCGUUGUUCGGAAUUACUGGGCGUAAAGCGCGUGUAGGCGGGUCUUUAAGUCAGGGGUGAAAUGCCAGGGCUCAACCUUGGAACUGCCCUUGAUACUGGAGAUCUUGAGUCCGGGAGAGGUGAGUGGAACUGCGAGUGUAGAGGUGAAAUUCGUAGAUAUUCGCAAGAACACCAGUGGCGAAGGCGGCUCACUGGCCCGGUACUGACGCUGAGAUGCGAAAGCGUGGGGAGCAAACAGGAUUAGAUACCCUGGUAGUCCACGCUGUAAACGAUGGAUGCUAGCCGUUAGGCAGCUUGCUGCUUAGUGGCGCAGUUAACACUUUAAGCAUCCCGCCUGGGGAGUACGGUCGCAAGAUUA
rnacentral:rRNA from 1 species